rnacentral:pre_miRNA from 1 species
UUAUUUUAAGAAUGCGGCUAUUAAGUAUAGCCACAUUCUUAAACAAAGCGCUUUAUUUAAGAAUGUGGCUUUACCUAAUAGUCGCAUUCUUAAAACAAACC